UAGAUGAUGGGUGUUGAUGCA
rnacentral:miRNA from 1 species